UUUGUUGAUUGUUUCCUCUUCUUUCCAGUUAGAUGUGGUCCGAUCAAGUUUACUUCAACAUAUGGCCUGAACAUUCCUGUAGCUAGUUGCCACUUCAAAUCGUUCGCAGCGACAACUGAAAAAUGUUUUAUAAUGCAUAAAAGGCAUAAAGAUUUGGAUGAGAUAUACCUUUGACGGUGACUUUUUGUUCGCCAGUUCCAGGAUGCGUGAAGAGAUCCACUUGAAUACUGACUUCUCCAACUGAGCCUUCCUCUGUGCCAGCAGUAUCUGGAACUUUAUUAAGAACAAGUUAGAUUUCAUAUACAAAUUCAAACUUUUUGUCACUACAAGAGAGAAAACAAGAGCCUCGCUGAGGCUCUAUUCGAGACUAAAAUUUUGAAAUUGAAUGCUAAAAUACUAUAUAAUAUAUGAAUAAUAUCUAAUUCUAGAGCAGAUUACAUGCUCUAAUCAUAUGCAUGGAAUUUUGUAUCUUUGAAUCAAUUCAUCAAAGAAGACGAAGUUGCUGUAUUUGUUAAAGACGCAUGGAUAAUCUCAAGCAUAUAAAAUUUACAAGAUCUUUAUACAAUGAUAAAUUCACUAAUUUGCUAAUCGAUUUCAUUAUUAUUUUAUGAACAAGGAUUAGUUUGCAGCAAUUUAAUUGUAAAAAUUACAAAAUUUAAUUAUAAAAAUCUUAUAUCUCAUUGCUUUGACUGGAUUAUACAUUUUGCGAUUAAUAAUUAAUUUACCAAUCGUAUGGAUAUGUAAAAAAAAAAAAAAGAAAUUAUAGAAUUGUCGAUUUAUAUCUGCUACAUACUUUUUAGAAAAAACAAUUUAACUGGAAAAUGAUAUGGUGAAUGGACUGUGAUAAAGAAAAUCUAUAGGUGUUUAAGUGUACAUUUGUCAAAGCUUAAAAAAAAAAAAUUAUUAAAAGAAUGCUUAGUGUAAAAAACAAUGUUAGAAAAUGGCAACCUCUGGAGUAUGUGUAAUAUAUAGAGUAUAUAUUCACAAAUUUAUAUUAUUAUUGUAAUAGAUUGCUAUCAAGUGGAUAUUGCCAUCGAGAUGAGUACAGCCUUAUAAGAACAAUGAUAAUCAUCAUGCAAAUGUUAUACUGUUCGCGGCCAUAGAAGAUAAGUGGAACAUUGAUCAUUCAUUCGAAAUCUCGAAUUCUGAGUCCAAAAUUAUGAAGUUUCAAGUGGGCUUCCCAAGAUUAUUGGAUUUAUAAAUCUUCAUGAACUCAUGAAUUAUUAGAUUAUAGAAGUUCUAAGCUUCACCAGCAAUUAAUAACCUUCUUAAUGACCUAUGAUCUCAAGUUGAUGAAGGAUGGCAUUCACUAAGAGAAAUUAUGACUUUCAGAUCCGAAGGUGGCCAUUUUCUACUGUCGAUGUUUUGUAAGGUUUUCGGUAGUAGCAGCAACAGCGGUAGUAGUGACAGCAGCAGCAGCACUACCUAAUACAACUAUCGAUCACCGAGAAGUCUUCGGGACGGUCUUUUUGACCCUUUCAAUU